AACGCAUCUUGCGCUCUUUGGCAUUCCGAAGAGCAUGCUUGUUUGAGUGUCGCAAACCUCUCACGCCCCGCGUUUUAACGAGCGCGCGUGGCUGUGGACCGUGGCCGUCGGCCGGCUUUCAUAGUCGGCCCGGCCGAAAUACAUGCGGAGCGCCUCUGCUGCCCGCGACGACCGAGCGUUGUAGACCCCUCGCUUGAUCGGCGUGAGCGCAGGCUCCCAACCCUAUCUAUUCGACCUCAAAUCAAGUAGGACUACCCGCUGAACUUAA
rnacentral:misc_RNA from 1 species